UCCUCUUUCUUCUUCCUCUUCUUGUUUUCUUCAUCUUUCUUCUUCUUUUUCUUCCUUCUUCUUUUUUCUUUAGGGGAGAAGCACAAGACACAAGUUCCAUGAGUUUUUAUUUUCUUUUCAUUCUGCUGGGAUUUUCCAUUUAGUCUCUGCUAGCAUUGUGGCAAAAGGCCAAAAAAGCCUAAAUCUGAAACAUGCCUGACAAAGACAUCUCCUUGCUGACUUUUAUUUUGUUUUUUUUCAGACAGAGUCUUGUUCUGUCAUUCAAGCUGGAGUGCAGUGGUGUGAUCUCGGCUCACUGCAACCUCUGCCUCCCUUCCCAGAUUCAAGUGAUUCUCUUGCCUCAGCCUCCCAAGUAGUUGGGAUGCCCAGCUAAUUUUUAUAGUUUUCGUAGAAUCAGGGUUUCGUCGUGUUGGCCAGGCUGGUCUCAAACUCCUGACCUCAAGUGAUCCAUCGCCUCGGCCUCCCAAAGUGCUGGAGUUACAGGCAUGAGCUCCCAUGCUGGGCCUGGCUGACUUUUUUACAGCUUUGCUUCUUCAAGCCUGAUCCUUGGUCCAGCCGCAUGGGCAUCAUCUGGGAACAGACUCUCAGACCCCAUCCAUCACUACUGAAUCAGAAUCUGCAUGUUAGCAAGAUCCCAAGGUGAUGUGUGUGUGUAUUAAAAUUUGGAACCACUGUCUCAUAGUAAUUGUAAGAGUUACAAUCUAAGGUUGGUGGAGGAGGAAAGAAGAAGAAACAGGAGUCUGCUUGUGGAGGGGACAUGUAUUUGUUUCCUAAGUCUGCUAUAACAAAAUACCACAAAAUUUCUAAAACAAUAGAAAUUUAUUUUCUCACAGUUCUGAAAACUAGAAGUCCAAAGUGAAGGAGUCGGCAGAGCCAUGUUCCUUAUGAAACUCUGGGAGGAAUCCUUCCUUGUGUCUUCCAGCUUCUAGGGGUGACCAUGGAAACUUGCAGUUCCUGGGUUUGCAGCUCUAUUACUUCAGCCUUUGCUCCUGUGGUCACAUGGCAUUCUCCCUAUGUGUCUGCCUUUUAAAUUGUGUUUUUUUGUUAUUUUUUUUUUUAGACAAGAGUCUCACACCGUCGCCCAGGUUGAAGUGCAAUGGUGCGAUCUUGGCUCACUGCAACCUCUGCCUCCUGGGUUCAAGCGAUUCUCCUGUCUCAGCCUCCCAAGUAGCUGGAACUACAGGCAUCCCCUGCACCCCCCGAACCCGGGAGGGAAAUACAACACAUGGGAUUAUUAUUGCUGAUGACACCAGAUAAUAUUUUGCCUAAACUCCUAAGCACUGGAUAAAUACAGAACAAGAUAACAAGAGUUCCCAGCAAAGGAGCCAGGUUGGUAUUCAUACUAUCCCCCCUUUUAACCUCCUCCCCAGCCCUUUGGGUUUUAUUUUCUGUGGUGAUUGCAUCUCCAGCACACUGCUUUUUAUGUUCAUGAGGGACAGGGCUUCUUUAAUAGCUCUUGAACCUAACAAGCAUCCUAGUGGUUUGAUUUCAGUGUGAUUUAUUUGCCUUUCUUAUCAGGCUAACCAGAAUGCUUUUAUCAGCUAUGUUAACUUGUAACACAGUGGAAUUGGGUUUGCA
rnacentral:lncRNA from 1 species